rnacentral:tRNA from 1 species
GCUGUAGCUCAAUGGCAGAGCAUUUGCCUAGCAUGUAUGAGGCCCUGGGUUCAAUCCUUAGCACUGCA